rnacentral:rRNA from 1 species
UACGUAGGGGGCUAGCGUUGUCCGGAAUCAUUGGGCGUAAAGCGCGUGUAGGCGGCCCGGUAAGUCCGCUGUGAAAGUCGGGGGCUCAACCCUCGAAUGCCGGUGGAUACUGUCGGGCUAGAGUACGGAAGAGGCGAGUGGAAUUCCUGGUGUAGCGGUGAAAUGCGCAGAUAUCGGGAGGAACACCAAUUGCGAAGGCAGCUCGCUGGGACGUCACUGACGCUGAGACGCGAAAGCGUGGGGAGCAAACAGG